rnacentral:rRNA from 1 species
UACGUAGGAGGCAAGCGUUGCCCGGAAUUACUGGGUGUAAAGCGCGUGUAGGCGGCUCGUUAAGUCUGUUGUGAAAGCGCCCGGCUCAACCGGGCAGAGUCAAUGGAAACUGGCGGGCUGGAGGUCGGUAGAGGCGAGUGGAAUUCCCGGUGUAGUGGUGAAAUGCGUAGAGAUCGGGAGGAACACCAGUGGCGAAGGCGGCUCGCUGGGCCGGACCUGACGCUGAGACGCGAAGGCGUGGGGAGCGAACGGG